ACAGCAACACUAACCAAAUGAGGAUAGGGGGCCUGUGUUUUCCUCCCUUAUGCUGCUUUUUGCUCUUUUCCUCUGCCUUUUGAAAUUGCAGAUGAGAAGAGUAAAUAUUGGAAGGUUAUCCUUUGUAUCUCAUGAUCAGAUCACAAGCUAGCAUGUGACUCGGGAGGGAAAAACAAGUCUUUCCAGCAGAUGUCAAGGCAGCGAGCCGGCUCUGCUGACUGCUGUACCUUGCUGUCUGCAGCCAAAGUCAAUUCCUGCUGCAUCCUUGAGGUACAGAACCUCAUGAUUCAUCAGCAUUUUAUUCUAAUUAAAGAAAACCCAGACGACUUUCAUUUUGGGCUUGCCUAUUUAGCAACUCUGAAUGCAAUGUGUAUGUAAGGAUAAAUAGCAGCUUUCAGCCACUGUUUUGUAAACAAGCUUCAGCCCAGGAAGAGCAAGAGCAGUUUGGAGCCACCCUGAAAUAAAAAUUGGAGCUGAGUUUUAGCAAUUUGGGUUUGACCAGACUUAUCUCGCCUGGGGUGAGUUUGUCUUGCUGAGCUCCUGACCAAGCAUCCAGCCACAAAACCCAGCAGGGAAAGGACUAGGAGAAGGGCAGGAAGGAUGGAGACAUGCAGGUGGCUGUAGCUCUUGGAGCCCCACAGUUGUCAGGACAACUGUGCACGGAGAAGAAAGCCUCUCACAGACCUCCCCAUCCCCAUGAGGCUGACGCAAAGAGCCAGCACACCAGAUAUUCCCACGGUCGCUGUCCUCGUGCCCCAGCUCAGCCAGAAAAGCUGCUCCCAGGAGGCGCUUGAAUGGCUUUCCCCUCGCACACGGAAGCGCAGGGAGCACGGACGUCGUCUCUCAUUGUGAUGGGAAAGGUUAUCGGGUACGAAACAAAAGUGAAAUCAUCCGCUGGCAUUCCUGGGACCAAAAUAGCUGCCUGCUUCCAGCACUGACGUUAUCACAGAGGAAGGAAGGCUCCGGAUACAGGCUGUCCCGUUCCAGGGCUCACGUACUGACCCUGCAGCGAGCCAGCUCCAGGGCUGGCUGUGAGCAGAAGCGAAAUGAGGCAUUCUUGCCACGGCAGGUUGAAGAGAACUCAGUGCAUGAGGUCCCAAAGCUGCCAUCACUGCCAAGCAGCCCCAGAGCCUCACACAAGAAACACUCAGCGACAGCCCAGCAGAGCUCACUGCCUCACGUUAACGUUCAGGGCUAGAGCCCUCCUGGGGACAGCACGGCACAGGGAGAGCUGUGGCAGAUGGACACCCCUAACAGGGGACUCUGUGAGCUGCUGGCCCUGCUGCUGGCAGCCUCGGGGCUGUGUUGCCCUGCCUGCAGAACUGGGUCUGAGCAGGGACAUGGUCAGCAAAGACAAGGCUUGGCUGUCAGCUCACUAAAAGCAUCUUUACUGUUCCACUUAUCUGGGAUUUUCUGUUACUGUUUUUUUUUCCUCUAGCACAGAUAGAUUCAAUCCAAGAACCAGAAUAGCCACAAAGCCAAGUGUAUCUAUCAGGCCUCUUACUACAGAGGCACUUAGGUGUUUCUCAACUGAGACUCGUCACAAAACAGUGG